UGGCAUACGGCUCAGUAACACGUAGUCAACAUGCCCAGGGGACGUGGAUAACCUCGGGAAACUGAGGAUAAACCGCGAUAGGUCAUCACUUCUGGAAUGGGUAAUGACUUAAAUCUAUAUGGCCCCUGGAUUGGACUGCGGCCGAUCAGGCUGUUGGUGAGGUAAUGGCCCACCAAACCUGUAACCGGUACGGGCUCUGAGAGGAGGAGCCCGGAGAUGGGCACUGAGACAAGGGCCCAGGCCCUAUGGGGCGCAGCAGGCGCGAAACCUCUGCAAUAGGCGAAAGCUUGACAGGGUUACUCUGAGUGAUUUCCAUUAAGGAGAUCUUUUGGCACCUCUAAAAAUGGUGCAGAAUAAGGGGUGGGCAAGUCUGGUGUCAGCCGCCGCGGUAAUACCAGCACCCCGAGUGGUCGGGACGUUUAUUGGGCCUAAAGCAUCCGUAGCCGGUUCUACAAGUCUUCCGUUAAAUCCACCUGCUUAACAGAUGGGCUGCGGAAGAUACUAUAGAGCUAGGAGGCGGGAGAGGCAAGCGGUACUCGAUGGGUAGGGGUAAAAUCCGUUGAUCCAUUGAAGACCACCAGUGGCGAAGGCGGCUUGCCAGAACGCGCUCGACGGUGAGGGAUGAAAGCUGGGGGAGCAAACCGGAUUAGAUACCCGGGUAGUCCCAGCUGUAAACGAUGCAGACUCGGUGAUGAGUUGGCUUAUUGCUAACUCAGUGCCGCAGGGAAGCCGUUAAGUUUGCCGCCUGGGGAGUACGGUCGCAAGACUGAAACUUAAAGGAAUUGGCGGGGGAGCACCACAAGGGGUGAAGCCUGCGGUUCAAUUGGAUUCAACGCCGGAAAU
rnacentral:rRNA from 1 species